AGAGUUUGAUCCUGGCUCAGGAUGAACGCUGGCGGCGCGCCUAACACAUGCAAGUCGAACGGUUAAAGCACCUUCGGGUGUGUAUAGAGUGGCGAACGGCUGAGUAACACGUGGGCAACCUGCCCUUUGCAUCGGGACAGCCUCGGGAAACUGUGGUUAAUACCGGAUACUCCAUCUUUCUCACAUGAAAAAGAUGGGAAAGUGUUUAGCGGCAAGGGAUGGGCCCGCGCCCUGUUAGCUUGUUGGUGGGGUAAAAGCCUACCAAGGCAAUGAUGGGUAGCCGGGUUGAGAGACCGACCGGCCAGAUUGGGACUGAGACACGGCCCAGACUCCUACGGGAGGCAGCAGUGGGGAAUCUUGCACAAUGGGCGAAAGCCUGAUGCAGCGACGCCGCGUGCGGGAUGAAGGCCUUCGGGUUGUAAACCGCUUUCAGCAGGGACGAGGCGAAAGUGACGGUACCUGCAGAAGAAGCCCCGGCUAACUACGUGCCAGCAGCCGCGGUAAUACGUAGGGGGCAAGCGUUAUCCGGAUUCAUUGGGCGUAAAGCGCGCGUAGGCUGCCCAGUAGGUCGAGAGUUAAAUCCGGGGGCUCGACCCCCGUCCGCUCCCGAUACCGCUGGGCUUCGAGUCUGGUAGGGGAAGGUGGAAUUCCCAGUGUAGCGGUGGAAUGCGCAGAUAUUGGGAAGAACACCGGUGGCGAAGGCGGCCUUCUGGGCCAUGACUGACGCUGAGGCGCGAAAGCUAGGGGAGCGAACAGGAUUAGAUACCCUGGUAGUCCUAGCCGUAAACGAUGGGCACUAGGUGUGGGGAGGCUUUACUUUCGUGCCGACGCUAACGCAUUAAGUGCCCCGCCUGGGAGUACGGCG
rnacentral:rRNA from 1 species